GAUCACUUAGUUUAUAUAAAAUAGAUAUUUUGAAAAUAUCAGAAAAGAAAAUUUCUCUUAAUGAUCG
rnacentral:tRNA from 1 species